rnacentral:rRNA from 1 species
CCUUUGGAAGAGAUGGGUAAUACUGUAUAAUCCCUGCGGGGGAAAGAUUUAUCGCUAAUGGAUGAGCCUAUGUUAGAUUAGCUAGUUGGUGGGGUAAUAGCCUACCAAGGCUACGAUCUAUAGCUGGUCUGAGAGGAUGAUCAGCCACACUGGAACUGAGACACGGUCCAGACUCCUACGGGAGGCAGCAGUGGGGAAUAUUGGACAAUGGGCGCAAGCCUGAUCCAGCUAUGCCGCGUGAGUGAAGAAGGCCUUAGGGUUGUAAAACUCUUUCAGCAGGGAAGAUAAUGACGGUACCUGCAUAAGAAGUCCCGGCAAACUCCGUGCCAGCAGCCGCGGUAAUACGGAGGGGGCAAGCGUUGUUCGGAAUUAAA